rnacentral:rRNA from 1 species
UACAUGGGGUGCAAACGUUGCUCGGAAUUAUUGGGCGUAAAGCGCACGUAGGCGGUUUGUUAAGUCGGAUGUGAAAUCCCUCGGCUCAACUGAGGAAGUGCAUCCGAAACUGGCAAGCUUGAGUACGAAAGAGGGUCGCGGAAUUCCCGGUGUAGAGGUGAAAUUCGUAGAUAUCGGGAGGAACACCGGUGGCGAAGGCGGCGACCUGGUCCAUUACUGACGCUGAGGCGCGACAGCGUGGGGAGCAAACAGG